AGAGUUUGAUCCUGGCUCAGAUUGAACGCUGGCGGCAUGCCUAACACAUGCAAGUCGAACGCGGAAGGGCUUUGGCUCGAGUAGCGUGGCGGACGGGUGAGUAAAGCGUGGGAAUCUGCCUGGCAGAGGGGGAUAACCCGGGGAAACCCGGGCUAAUACCGCAUACGCCCUACGGGGGAAAGGGGGCUUCGGCUCUCGUUGCCAGAUGAGCCCACGUCCGAUUAGCUAGUUGGUAGGGUAAGGGCCUACCAAGGCGACGAUCGGUCGCUGGUCUGAGAGGAUGACCAGCUACACUGGGACUGAGACACGGCCCAGACUCCUACGGGAGGCAGCAGUGGGGAAUAUUGGACAAUGGGGGCAACCCUGAUCCAGCAAUGCCGCGUGUGUGAAGAAGGCCUGCGGGUUGUAAAGCACUUUCAGUGGGAAAGAAAAGCGCGUGGCGAAUACCCACGCGUUUUGACGUUACUCACAAAAGAAGCACCGGCUAACUCCGUGCCAGCAGCCGCGGUAAUACGGAGGGUGCGAGCGUUAAUCGGAAUGACUGGGCGUAAAGCGCACGUAGGCGGCGUCGUCAGUCCGAUGUGAAAUCCCUGGGCUUAACCUGGGAACUGCAUUGGAUACUGCGGCGCUAGAGUGCGAAAGAGGGGGGUGGAAUUCCAGGUGUAGCGGUGAAAUGCGUAGAGAUCUGGAGGAACACCAGUGGCGAAGGCGGCCCCCUGGUUCGACACUGACGCUGAGGUGCGAAAGCGUGGGUAGCAAACAGGAUUAGAUACCCUGGUAGUCCACGCGGUAAACGAUGUCGACUAGCCGUCGGGCUCAUUUAAGGGUUUGGUGGCGCAGCUAACGCGAUAAGUCGACCGCCUGGGGAGUACGGCCGCAAGGUUAAAACUCAAAGGAAUUGACGGGGGCCCGCACAAGCGGUGGAGCAUGUGGUUUAAUUCGAUGCAACGCGAAAAACCUUACCAGCCCUUGACAUCUGACGAAUCCUGCGGAGACGUGGGAGUGCCUUCGGGAGCGUCAAGACAGGUGCUG
rnacentral:rRNA from 1 species